rnacentral:rRNA from 1 species
GACGAACGCUGGCGGCGUGCUUAACACAUGCAAGUCGAACGGAAAGGCCCUGCUUUUGUGGGGUGCUCGAGUGGCGAACGGGUGAGUAACACGUGAGUAACCUGCCCUUGUCUUUGGGAUAACUUCAGGAGACUGGGGCUAAUACCGGAUAGGAGCUCCUGCUGCAUGGUGGGGGUUGGAAAGUUUCGGCGGUUGGGGAUGGACUCGCGGCUUAUCAGCUUGUUGGUGGGGUAGUGGCUUACCAAGGCUUUGACGGGUAGCCGGCCUGAGAGGGUGACCGGCCACAUUGGGACUGAGAUACGGCGCAGACUCCUACGGGAGGCAGCAGUGGGGAAUAUUGCACAAUGGGCGGAAGCCUGAUGCAGCAACGCCGCGUGCGGGAUGACGGCCUUCGGGUUGUAAACCGCUUUCGCCUGUGACGAAGCGUGAGUGACGGUAAUGGGUAAAGAAGCACCGGCUAACUACGUG